rnacentral:rRNA from 1 species
UACGUAGGGUGCGAGCGUUGUCCGGAAUUAUUGGGCGUAAAGAGCUCGUAGGCGGUCUGUCGCGUCUGCUGUGAAAACCCGAGGCUCAACCUCGGGCCUGCAGUGGGUACGGGCAGACUAGAGUGUGGUAGGGGAGACUGGAAUUCCUGGUGUAGCGGUGAAAUGCGCAGAUAUCAGGAGGAACACCGAUGGCGAAGGCAGGUCUCUGGGCCACUACUGACGCUGAGAAGCGAAAGCAUGGGGAGCGAACAGG